UUUCACUACCAUUCCUACAGUGAUUGGCAAGAUACCGUUUCUACCUCACUCUCCAUGUACCAUGCCAGUGACAUCUUAGCUGCUAGAGUGUGGAGCUGGCCUGUGGGAGUCAAGUAUUGGUGAUGUGACCUGUUCACGCAGGGGAAACUUGAACAUUCGCAGGUCAGAAAUCUGACAGAGGUCCCACUGGGCUAAAAUCAACGUGUCUUCAGGGAUGUGUUCCUUUCUGGACCUGUGAGAGCAGAAUCUGUUUCCUUGCCUUUUCUGGUUUCUGGAGACUACCCACCUUUCCUUGGUUCAUGAUUUUUUUCUCCAUCUUCAAAGCUAGUGUUUUCCGUUCCUUUCAGGCUGCCAUCUCUCUGGUUCUCUGGAGCUGGAACAGGUUUUUUGAUUUUAAUUGAUUAAAUAACUGUGAUUAGAUUGUGCCCA
rnacentral:lncRNA from 1 species